rnacentral:rRNA from 1 species
UUUGACAUGCUUAAAGUAGAAACUCGAAAGAGGGACGACCUGUAUCCAAUCAGGAAUUUGCACAGGUGCUGCAUGGCUGUCGUCAGCUCGUGCCGUGAGGUGUUAGGUUAAGUCCUGCAACGAGCGCAACCCUCGUCGCUAGUUACUUUUCUCUAGCGAUACUGCCCGUAUAACGUGGAGGAAGGUGGGGAUGACGUCAAGUCAGCAUGGCCCUUACAUCCUGGGCUGCACACACGCUACAAUGGGUGAUACAACAGGUUGCAAUAGAGCGAUCUGGAGCCAAUCCCUAAAAUCAUCCUCAGUACGGAUUGCAGGCUGCAACUGCCUGCAUGAAGUUGGAGUUGCUAGUAAACGCAGGUCAGCACACUGCGUUGAAUACGUUCUCGGGCCUU